rnacentral:misc_RNA from 1 species
GAUGAAGAACGAAGCGAAAUGCGAUACUUGGUGUGAAUUGCAGAAUCCCGUGAACCAUCGAGUCUUUGAACGCAAGUUGCGCCCGAAGCCAUCAGGUUGAGGGCACGUCUGCCUGGGCGUCACAUAUCGUUGCCCAAUGCCUAUUGCAGUGCAAUAGGAAUUUCUAGGGCGAAUGAUGGCUUCCCGUGAGCGUUGUUGCCUCGCGGUUGGUUGAAAAUCGAGUCCUUGGUAGGGUGUGCCAUGGUAGAUGGUGGUCGAGUUAGAACGAUACCGAUCAUGUGCAUGCUCCCCAAAAUAUGGCCUCUAUGACCCACACGCGUCUUUUGACGCUCAUGACGAGACCUCAGGUCAGGCGGGGCUACCCGCUGAAUUUAAGCAUAUCAAUAAGCGGAGGA